GCGGACCUGUUGUUUGGUAUGUGUGCGAAUGGGUGUCAGGCCAGUACCGAGGCUCCGUGUAUAGUUGGGACUGGCGUACUUUGAAGCGAUCUCGGAGCCUUGAUCCUAGAGUGCUAGUUGUUGGAAGUUUGCACAUGCAGAACGCGCCGCCGGGUCGCCACGUGCCUUGAAUAGAGUCCGGGAGACAACUUACUGAAGGGCCUAUGGCGCCACGAACGGAGGUUUUCUGGCUUAGGCCCAGGGCAGGCCUGAGCCUGAGCGUCGACGGGAAAGUCACCUGAGGAUUUACAAAAGAUUAUUUCAACAUGAACAGCCCCAGCUCUUUAUGGACCUUGGUGCUGCUUGAAACCCAGGCGGCGCUGUAUGCAGUACGAUUUAACGAGUGGGAGAGAAUUAACUGCAGGGAAAAAAAUUUAAACGUGACAUUCUGAGAAUGUUUGAUUGCAAGCAUCGAUCCCCCGCAGUAAUGAUGGCGCUAGCUUUCAGUGGUCAAUCGGAGCGGCUACAUGGACAUAAAAAGAUGCAUAAGAAAAUCCCAAAACAUGUCAUGGAAUGUUUAGCAAAGAAUUAAUUGCUUAAAACCUGACAGUCAACGCUUGUGAUUGUGACUGUGUGCCCACUCAGGCCAGUUUGCUGUAAAAUUCAUAAGACAGAACAAUUUCUGACUAGCACCACAAAGUCUCCUUUUUCUACUAUGAAAACCUGGUGAUAAGAGUAAUCCAGAAAAAGCAGACAUGAAGAGAAAACAUACAGUUUGGGAUUCUAUUUUUUUUAACCAUAGCUAAACCAUGAACUAAUGGGUUUUUAACAGGAGGGUCUUGAACUUUGCAUAAUUAACCUUGUCAAAUUAUUCCUCAGUGUUUUGCCAUUAAUCACCUCUUGAAUUUAAGAUACAUAAUUGUAAUUAAAACUGAGUCAAAGUUGACACUGCCUUAUAAUUUAGUUUCUUAUAGAGAUGUCUGGUUAUUGAUUACAAUAACUGGUUAAUAUAACAAUAAAAUUUUUUAUUAACCCAUUUGAGUCCCAAGUUUUCAAUUCUGAAACUAUUCCCAUGAAAUUAUUGACACUGGUAUGUUAAAAUAGUUGGGAAAUCUUAUCAACCUUUCCCUAUCCUGUCCAGCACCCUAUUCUUAGU